GUCCAGCCUGCCCAGUGACACUGUUCAACGGCCGCGGUAUCCUAACCGUGCGAAGGUAGCGUAAUCAUUUGUUCUUUAAUUGAGGACUAGUAUGAAUGGCCCCACGAGGACUAUACUGUCUCCUUUUUCUGAUCAAUGAAACUGAUCUCCUCGUGAAGAAGCGGGGAUAAGCAUAUAAGACGAGAAGACCCUAUGGAGCUUUAAACAACAGAUACUUGCUAAAUUUAAAUUUUAUUCCUGAAAACUAAACAAAUUAAAGCAUUUUACUCUUAAGUUUUAGGUUGGGGUGACCACGGAGAAAAAAUCAACCUCCACGUUGUAAGAAGCCUCUCGGCUUCUAAGCUAAAAGCCACAGCUUAAAGCAUCAACACAUUGACCUCCAUUGACCCAAUAAUUUGACCAACGAACCAAGUUACCCUAGGGAUAACAGCGCAAUCUACUUUGAGAGCUCAUAUCGACAAGUAGGUUUACGACCUCGAUGUUGGAUCAGGGUGUCCUAGUGGUGCAGCCGCUACUAACGGUUCGUUUGUUCAACGAUUAAAACCCUACGUGAUCUGAGU
rnacentral:rRNA from 1 species